rnacentral:rRNA from 1 species
UACAGAGGAUGCAAGCGUUAUCCGGAAUGAUUGGGCGUAAAGCGUCUGUAGGUGGCUUUUUAAGUCCGCCGUCAAAUCCCAGGGCUCAACCCUGGACAGGCGGUGGAAACUACCAAGCUGGAGUACGGUAGGGGCAGAUGGAAUUUCCGGUGGAGCGGUGAAAUGCGUAGAGAUCGGAAAGAACACCAACUGCGAAAGCACUUUGCUGGGCCGUCACUGACGCUGAUAGACGAAAGCUAGGGGAUCGAACGGG